ensembl:snRNA U6 U6 spliceosomal RNA
GUGCUUGCUUUGCCAGCACAUAUACUGAAAUUGGAACCAUACUGACAAGAUUAGCAUGGCCCCUGCGCAAGGAUAACAGCUGGAUGCUGAAAGGAAAAGAGGAGCUUU